UACGGGGGGGGCAAGCGUUGUUCGGAAUUACUGGGCGUAAAGGGCUCGUAGGCGGCCAACUAAGUCAGAUGUGAAAUCCCCAGGCUUAACCUGGGAACUGCAUCUGAUACUGGAUGGCUUGAAUCCGGGAGAGGGAUGCAGAAUUCCAGGUGUAGCGGUGAAAUGCGUAGAUAUCUGGAGGAAUACCGGUGGCGAAGGCGGCAUCCUGGACCGGCAUUGACGCUGAGGCGCGAAAGCCAGGGGAGCAAACGGG
rnacentral:rRNA from 1 species